rnacentral:rRNA from 1 species
UACGGGGGGGGCAAGCGUUGUUCGGAAUUACUGGGCGUAAAGGGCUCGUAGGUGGCCAACUAAGUCAGACGUGAAAUCCCCAGGCUCAACUUGGGAACUGCGUCUGAUACUGGAUGGCUUGAAUUCGGGAGAGGGAUGCAGAAUUCCAGGUGUAGCGGUGAAAUGCGUAGAUAUCUGGAGGAACAUCAGUGGCGAAGGCGACUGUCUGGACAGAUACUGACGCUGAGGCGCGAAAGCGUGGGGAGCAAACAGG